GCUUGAAUUUAAGUAACUCAAAUCCAGAACACAGCUUUUAUGGAAAAUCUUCAUAUGGAGACGGAAAAGUUUGUUUUUUUAUUUCUAUUUUUAUUGUGGAUCCAAAUGAAGAUUUGAUUGCACGAGUUUUUAGGGGAAUUGAAGUGAAAACAAUGGGAAUCAAGAGAAUAACAGUGGAGAUAAAAAAAAAUGAAACAAAGAUGGAAUAAACCAAGUUGUUUAAAUAAGUAAGACAUUUGUAUCUAAUCGUCUAAUUACACAUUUGAGGUUUUUUUCUGAAGAACCUUGAGUGUCUAUUUAAGGCAUUACAGAAGAACCAAAAUAAAGUG
rnacentral:lncRNA from 1 species